rnacentral:rRNA from 1 species
UGUGUGUUAGUGGAAGCGUCUGGAAAGGCGUGCGAUACAGGGUGACAGCCCCGUACACAAAAAUGCACAUGCUGUGAGCUCGAUGAGUAGGGCGGGACACGUGGUAUCCUGUCUGAAUAUGGGGGGACCAUCCUCCAAGGCUAAAUACUCCUGACUGACCGAUAGUGAACCAGUACCGUGAGGGAAAGGCGAAAAGAACCCCGGCGAGGGGAGUGAAAAAGAACCUGAAACCGUGUACGUACAAGCAGUGGGAGCACGCUUAGGCGUGUGACUGCGUACCUUUUGUAUAAUGGGUCAGCGACUUAUAUUCUGUAGCAAGGUUAACCGAAUAGGGGAGCCGAAGGGAAACCGAGUCUUAACUGGGCGUUAAGUUGCAGGGUAUAGACCCGAAACCCGGUGAUCUAGCCAUGGGCAGGUUGAAGGUUGGGUAACACUAACUGGAGGACCGAACCGACUAAUGUUGAAAAAUUAGCGGAUGACUUGUGGCUGGGGGUGAAAGGCCAAUCAAACCGGGAGAUAGCUGGUUCUCCCCGAAAGCUAUUUAGGUAGCGCCUCGUGAAUUCAUCUCCGGGGGUAGAGCACUGUUUCGGCAAGGGGGUCAUCCCGACUUACCAACCCGAUGCAAACUGCGAAUACCGGAGAAUGUUAUCACGGGAGACACACGGCGGGUGCUAACGUCCGUCGUGAAGAGGGAAACAACCCAGACCGCCAGCUAAGGUCCCAAAGUCAUGGUUAAGUGGGAAACGAUGUGGGAAGGCCCAGACAGCCAGGAUGUUGGCUUAGAAGCAGCCAUCAUUUAAAGAAAGCGUAAUAGCUCACUGGUCGAGUCGGCCUGCGCGGAAGAUGUAACGGGGCUAAACCAUG